rnacentral:rRNA from 1 species
GAUGAACGCUGGCGGCGUGCCUAAUACAUGCAAGUCGAGCGAACGGACGAGAAGCUUGCUUCUCUGAUGUUAGCGGCGGACGGGUGAGUAACACGUGGAUAACCUACCUAUAAGACUGGGAUAACUUCGGGAAACCGGAGCUAAUACCGGAUGAUAUUUUGAACCGCAUGGUUCAAAAGUGAAAGACGGUCUUGCUGUCCCUUAUAGAUGGAUCCGCGCUGCAUUAGCUAGUUGGUAAGGUAACGGCUUACCAAGGCAACGAUGCAUAGCCGACCUGAGAGGGUGAUCGGCCACACUGGAACUGAGACACGGUCCAGACUCCUACGGGAGGCAGCAGUAGGGAAUCUUCCGCAGUGGGCGAAAGCCUGACGGAGCAACGCCGCGUGAGUGAUGAAGGUCUUCGGAUCGUAAAACUCUGUUAUUAGGGAAGAACAUAUGUGUAAGUAACUGUGCACAUCUUGACGGUACCUAAUCAGAAAGCCACGGCUAACUACGUG